rnacentral:misc_RNA from 1 species
GAUGAAGAACGUAGCGAAAUGCGAUAAGUAAUGUGAAUUUCAGAAUCCAGUGAAUCAUCGAAUCUUUGAACGCACAUUGCGCCCGCCAGCAUUCUGGCGGGCAUGCCUGUUCGAGCGUCAUUUCAACCCUCGACCUCCCUUUGGGGAAGUCGGCGUUGGGGACCGGCAGCACACCGCCGGCCCUGAAAUGGAGUGGCGGCCCGUCCGCGGCGACCUCUGCGUAGUAAACCAACUCGCACCGGAACCCCGACGUGGCCACGCCGUAAAACACCCAACUUCUGAACGUUGACCUCGAAUCAGGUAGGACUACCCGCUGAACUUAAGCAUAUCAAUAAGCGGAGGA